GGUUCAAUAGAUUAGUGACUAUCACGCUCGCCUUACACGCGGCAGGUCCUGGGUUCGAACCCCAGUUGAACCA
rnacentral:tRNA from 1 species